AAUAACCAUAGGAUGGAUACACAUCAUAUGAUGAAGAAAGAAUUUUCUGCUGAGAGUUAAGUUCAGCUUUACAUAAAAUUCUGCAUUGAGGCCUAGAGCACUAUCAGCCACGUGAUAUUAUCGGGCGCUCUCUAAUAUGGAAUCUGCAAGUCAGCAAGUCUGCCACCCACCUCCUUAUUGUUCUGAGAUUCCUGUGCUCCUAUCAAGCCCGGCUUCUGACUCUAAGGAUACAUCUCUUCCCUUCACUGUCCCUAUGUAGAUCAUGUCCAUAAGACUGAGCAUCACUUUGGCCUUCCCUUCAAGUAUAAUUAAUAAUUUUAUUAUUAUCCAAAAGAUUAGUUCAAGUGUAGACUUGCCCCUGUGCCCUAGUACAGGCACUAACCACCUCCAAGCCAAAGAAAAUUAUCCAGGACAAAGCCUACCUGCCUGAUAGAAAUUCCCAAGAACAAAACUUAGCCCUCUAAAGCUCCCGCCACCAAUUCCCUGUAGGGGAAUCUAUGUAAUGCUGAGGGUCAUACAGAGAUCCUUAUUCCCCAAUAGUGCAUACGGAAGGAACACAUAGACGUGAAAAGCACUGAUAUCAUACUUUUAAAGAUGACUGUGUGAAGUAAAAUUGGAAUCUAGUCCACAGUGCAAGUCUUUUUGUUGCCUCUCUCAGUAAUAAGUUGUAACACUGUGAGGCGGCAUUUUAUCCCUGUGGGCCUCUUUCCUUUUAGCAAAAUGAGAAGUUUGGACUAGAUAAUAUUAAUGGUUUCCAUUAGACAUACUAUUCCUCAAUAAUUUUAUAUAGGUUGAAAACUUACAAAACAGAUAUAUCACACGAAACUUGUUCCCAUUAUUUAACAACUGUUUAGUAAGCAAAAUACCAACAAGACUAGUAUGUUGAUGAAAAAAUAAAAGUUAAAAAAAAAAAAAAGAAAAGUUUUGGGAUCACAUAAA